UUUGGUUCAUCCUUUGUACAUAUCGAUAAUGGCUUGGUGUCAAAGUCUCCUCGUGCUCCUUUCCCCAUGUUGACACAAUUGCAUAACAUGGGUGAAAAUGGUGCAGAUAUAAGGACAAACUAGGACACCAAAGAACAUGUUAAAGGGUUUAAAAUGAAGAGGAUUUCUGUUAUUAUUCUGAGUUUGCUGUCUCUGGGGCAGUGUACUCCACUAGACUCCUGCGAGGCUCUGUUGAAACCUAUAGUCAUCAGCCAUGGUGAAAUGCAGGGGAAGUGGCUGUACAUUGGUGGGACAUCUGAUCUCCCUGGAAGCCGGUCCCUGGUCCACUUGUUGACAAGUGCCUGGAUUGAGUGCCGACCAACAUCACAGAGUAACAUACUAGAGCUCAUCCAAGCUCAGAGAAUAUAUGGACAAUGCUCCACACUGAAGUAUAACGUGACAUUUGAAAACAACACACUUUUAAUUGAACAACCAUUUUAUUUAAAAGAGGUGUAUCUCCCAACUGAAUGCAUUGAUUGUUUGGCUGUCUAUGAAACAGUUGAGACUGGGCGUGACUCCUUUACGAGUCUGCUUUUUUUCAGCAAAAGCACUGCCUCAGCUGCUGCUGUGGAGAUGUUUAAGAAACAAGCUGAAUGUCUGAAUAUGCCUCACUUCUGAUGGUCAGCCCUGAUCAUGAAAUGUGCCCCGAAGACCAACCUGCAGUGGAGGGACUGCCUGCUCUUAAUAAAUAUCUGGAGGCCAAGACAGGACAUCGUAUUGCAAGAUUCUUGGACACCAUUUUCGAUCUAUUCAUCAACUAGACUGUUCACCUUUUAAUAGUCUUGUAUUGUAUUUAGUUACAAUAAAGGUGUUAUGUACUUGUAAGAAUUUUUGGUUUUCUUACAUGUAAUUAUUAAUUGAAGUAUAAUUAACAAUAUGUGGAUGUAUAAAUAUAUCUUUAACCAUCUGUUGUUGAAAAUAUGACACAAAACAUAAUUAAAAAUCAGCUGUGUGGCUCAAAUGCAGCCCACCCACUAGAAAAGUCUGGUCUCUGAUGAUGCAGAAAAUCCCUAAAGCUGCUCUCUGCCCCCUUUUUCUGCUGUAUUAAGUCAAUAUAGCCUGCUGUGCUCAAAUGAUCUUAUAAUAAACAAAGGGAGAGACUAUAAGAACUUCUCCAGUAAAUGAAAGUACAAGCAGACAGUGUAGUUUAAAUUCUAAUAUUUGUAUAACUGUUCAAUUUAUGGCCCAUGAUUUUGAAGCCAGCAAAAACAAAUGUUUUUAAAUGCGUGUCACGGUCAGAGUGUUUGUUUGCACAACCACACGGUCAGUGACCACAGAAAAUCAAUAUAAUGUUGUUGCAGCUAUUAUACUAUAUACUGCUCUCUAGCAACCCUUUUUGUAGAAGAACUUCAAAGUAAAGAUGAGGUUUCUUGCUUGCCUGUGCUGCUCUGCUUCGUUUGUUUGGGACAUGCAGAUCUCGACUGUGGAACUCUUCUCAAACCAAUACAUUAUAAUCACAAUGAGGUCAGUGUAUUGUCAUUAUUAUGUUUAUACCAAAAUGGUUAAGUGUGCUGUGACAUAAUAGUUUAUGUACCCUACAGCUGAGGGGCAAGUAUCACUUCCUUGGUGGGAGCUCAAUCCUCCCAGGAAGUCGAUCCUGGGCCUACACUCUGACCGACGCCUGGGUUGAAGCCUUAGAAACUUCCCAAAGCGACAUUUUUGUAUUCACCCAAGCUCAGAGAAUGUAAGGAGCCACAGAUAUGUCUCAAUCUAUUUAGUCCAAUCAAGCCAAGCAAUAUGCCUUUAUGACCACCUGCGAUCCACACCUUCAUGCAAACCAAACUAUACAAAUAACUGAGGUUUGUCAUUAGCUAUUACAACAUGGCGCUAGUUAAAAUUUGGACGUCAUCUUAGGAGAAAAAUUGUCAAAUGCUGGUCAACAGUUUCACUAAAAUAAAAUCUCAAUAAACAAAUAAUCAGUUAUUAACACAGAGGUCAAGAAUUUAAGCUUUGUGAUCUCGUCAUUCCAGGUUUGGAAAAUGUUUUAAUAUAAAGUAUGAAAUGGCCAUUGAAAACGGUGCCCUUGUGAUGAGUACGUAAAAAGAACUAGCAUUAUUGUUUAUUGAAUACAUUUGUGUAAUAGCUCAUUGCUUCAUUCAGAGCAACCAGAACACUCAUUUUACCUGAAGCAUGAAUACAUGUUGACCGACUGCCCAGACUGUGUGACUCUGUAUGAAACAGCCAUCUCUGGGAACGUCACAUUCUACAGCCUGUUGUUCAGUAAGUGCAAUUACUGUUUUUUCGUUGAAAGAUCUAUCACUGAAGUUAGCAGCAGGUCCUAUGAAAAUGUUUUUCAAAUAGAUUUUGUUACAUAGCAAGAGAAAAGAAGGUUUUUAGACGUAUUUGAGUUGUAUAAACUGAAUGCUGAAUACUGUUAUAGAAGGAAAUUAUACUGUGUGUCCCCAUCCAGGUAAAAGCAGGACUGUGCCUGAUUCAGCGCUGGAGAUGCUAAAGAAGCAAGCAGAGUGUCUGAAGAUGCCUUCAGUCAUCAUGUUGAACAAACAUUCUGGUGCUAAUUGUUGUCAUUCUGAAUAGUAUGAAACACUUUGUCGAUUCACUGUAUUCUACUAAUGUUGUAUGCUUUUCUGUGUAUACUCAGAAGCGUGCCCGGACGACCCUGCACCCAUGGAUGGCACUGAGGCUUUUAGAUAUGUUAUGGAGGCAAAGACGGUACAUGUGUUUGGCAGAAUCAUGGACACUAUUUUUGAUCUGUUUGUGAACUGACUGAGUGACUUGAUGUUACUCCACUGCAACUUAUGUGAAUAAAGUAUGCAGGCGUUUGCCGUACCUUUUAGUGUUACAAAGCACAUGAAAAACUGGGACGCUUAGCCCGAUCACUCAAGACUUCCUAUUCACUGGGGUGGUCCUGUGGGGGCACAGACUGCUUUCGCAAGGCACUGUAUAUACAGUGCCCUUUGAAAGUACUUAUACACCUUGAACUUUUGCACAUUUUGUCAUGUUUACAACCAUAAACCAGAUUUUAUUUUGAUUUUUUUACUGAAGGUUCACACGUAACAGACAACUGUGAGGUGAAAGCAAAAUGAUACAUGAUUCUGUUAUUUUUCAAAAAAUAGAAAAGUGAAAAGUGGGGCGUGCACAAGUAUUCAUACAGCAUGACUUAAUACUUUGUGGAACCCCCUUUUGCUGCAAUAACAGCAGCAAGUCUUUUGGGGUAUGACUCUACAAGGUUUGCACAUCUAGAGACUGACAUUUUAGCCCAUUCCUCUUUACAAAACAACUCAAGCUCUGUCAAAUUAGAAGGAGAGCGUUUGUGAACAGCAGUUUUCAGGUCUUUCCACAGAUUUUCAAUAGGAUUUAGGUCAGGACUUUGACUGGGCCAUUCUAACACAUUAAUAUGUUUGUUUUUAAACCAUUCCAUUGUAGAUUUAGCUUUGUGUUUAGGGUCAUUGUCCUGCUGGAAGGUGAAUCUCCGCCCCAGCCUCAAUUCUCUUGUUGACUCCAGCAGGUUUUCCUCCAAAAUGUCUCUGUAUUUGGCUCCAUCCAUCUUCCCAACUAUUCUUACAAUCUUCUCCGUCCCUGCUGAGGAAAAGCAGCCCCAUAGCAUGAUGCUCCCCCACCAUAUUUGACACUGGGGAUGGUGCACUCACGACGAUGAGCAGUGUUAGGUUUGUGCCAUACAUAACGUUUUGCAUUUGGGCCAAAAAGUUAAAUUUUUGUCUCAUCUGACCAAAGCACCUUCUUCCACAUGGUAGCUGUGUCCUCCAUAUGACUUCUAGCAAACUUCAAACGGAAUUUCUUAUGGCCUCCUUUCAAUAAUGGCUUUCUUCUUGCCACUCGUCCAUGAAGGCCAGAUUUGUGUAGAGUACGCCUUAUAUUGUCCCAUGUACAGAUUCCCCCAGCUCAGUGGCAGUACGUCGCAGCUCCUCCAGAGUUAUCUUGGGGCACUUGGUUGCAUUUCUGACCAGAAAUGCAACCAAGUGCAGACCUUGUUUGGUCUGUUUGGUCAGAGUUUAAGUGGACGCCCGUGUCUUGGUAAGUUCGCAGUGGUGCUAUACUCUUUCCAUUUCCGAAUGAUGGAUUGAACAGUGCUCCGUGAGAUGUUCAAAUCUUGGGAACUCUUUGUAUAACUUAACGCUGCUAUAAACGUCUCCACAACUUUAUCCCUGACCUCUCUGGUGUGCUCCUUGGCCUUCAUGAUGUUGCUUAGUGACCAAUACACUCUGGCCAUAGCUCUGAGGCCCUCGCAGAACAGCUGGAAUUAUACUGAGAGUAGAUUACGCAUAGGUGGCCUCUAUUUAAUUGUUAGGGUAAGGUGUGAACAUUCUGCAGUCAUUAGGAAUGCUAUAAAGGCAAUUUAAUGCACUCAGAAAAUGCUGUAUGAAAACUUAUGCACGCCCCACUUUUCACUUUUCUAUUUUUUGAAAAAUAACAGAAUCAUGUAUCAUUUUGCUUUCACUUCACAGUUGUCUGUUACUUGUGUGUGAACUUUCAGUAAAAAAAAUUACAAAAUGUGUAAAAGUUCAAGGUGUAUUAGUACUUUCGAGAGGCACUAUAUAUAUAUAAUUAUAUAUAUAUAUAUAAUUACCAUCAUCAUAACUGAACUGCAUUUAUUAAAUUUGCCUGCAUAGGUUUGCGCUUAUUUAUUGAAAUGUCUCCAUAUGUUAUAGUUUGGUGAUAUAAUUGACCUGCAUCAGCCCCUUGGAGGACCAAUCAGAUUCCAGGGGUGGACUGUGACCCUGGCCCACCUCAGACACGCCUCUACAGAGAUGAGCAGUGGGCACAAGGCACGGCAAAAGUACUAUUAGUUUUAU
ensembl:lncRNA